UGGGGAAUAUUGCACAAUGGGCGCAAGCCUGAUGCAGCCAUGCCGCGUGUAUGAAGAAGGCCUUCGGGUUGUAAAGUACUUUCAGCGGGGAGGAAGGGAGUAAAGUUAAUACCUUUGCUCAUUGACGUUACCCGCAGAAGAAGCACCGGCUAACUCCGUGCCAGCAGCCGCGGUAAUACGGAGGGUGCAAGCGUUAAUCGGAAUUACUGGGCGUAAAGCGCACGCAGGCGGUUUGUUAAGUCAGAUGUGAAAUCCCCGGGCUCAACCUGGGAACUGCAUCUGAUACUGGCAAGCUUGAGUCUCGUAGAGGGGGGUAGAAUUCCAGGUGUAGCGGUGAAAUGCGUAGAGAUCUGGAGGAAUACCGGUGGCGAAGGCGGCCCCCUGGACGAAGACCGACGCUCAGGUGCGAAAGCGUGGGGAGCAAACAGG
rnacentral:rRNA from 1 species